rnacentral:rRNA from 1 species
CUACGGGUGGCACCAGUGAGGAAUAUUGCACAAUGGGGGCAACCCUGAUGCAGCAACGCCGCGUGGAGGAUGACGCAUUUCGGUGUGUAAACUCCUUUUAUCAGAGAAGAACCAUGACGGUAUCUGAUGAAUAAGCUCCGGCUAACUCCGUGCCGGCAGCCGCGGUAAUACGGAGGGAGCAAGCGUUAUUCGGAAUCACUGGGCGUAAAGGACGCGUAGGCCGGUCUGUAAGUCAGGUGUGAAAUGCAAUGGCUCAACCAUUGAACUGCACUUGAAACUGCGGACCUAGAGUAUGGAAGGGGCAGAUGGAAUUAGUGGUGUAGGGGUAAAAUCCGUAGAUAUCACUAGGAAUACCGAAAGCGAAGGCGAUCUGCUGGGACAUAACUGACGCUGAGGCGUGAAAGCGUGGGGAGCAAACAGGAUUAGAUACCCGGGUAGUC